rnacentral:lncRNA from 1 species
CGAAGAGGUACAGGGUGCCCUGAGCAGGGUCUUCGUGCUCAAAGUGACUGCUUGUUGGGAGAAGG